GACGGAGGAUGCAAGUGUUAUCCGGAAUUACUGGGCGUAAAGCGCGCGCAGGCGGCCAUUCAAGUCAGGGGUGAAAGCCCAGAGCUCAACUCUGGAACUGCCCUUGAAACUGUAUGGCUUGAGUAUGAGAGAGGUGAGUGGAAUUCCCAGUGUAGAGGUGAAAUUCGUAGAUAUUGGGAAGAACACCGGUGGCGAAGGCGGCUCACUGGCUCAUCACUGACGCUCAGGCGCGACAGCGUGGGGAUCAAACAGG
rnacentral:rRNA from 1 species